GACGAACGCUGGCGGCGUGCUUAACACAUGCAAGUCGAACGGAAAGGCCCUGCUUUUGUGGGGUUCUCGAGUGGCGAACGGGUGAGUAACACGUGAGUAACCUGCCCUUGACUUUGGGAUAACUUCAGGAAACUGGGGCUAAUACCGGAUAGGAGCUCCUGCUGCAUGGUGGGGGUUGGAAAGUUUCGGCGGUUGGGGAUGGACUCGCGGCUUAUCAGCUUGUUGGUGGGGUAGUGGCUUACCAAGGGUUUGACGGGUAGCCGGCCUGAGAGGGUUACCGGCCACAUUGGGACUGCGAUACGGACCAGACUCCUACGGGAGGCAGCAGUGGGGAAUAUUGCACAAUGGGCGGAAGCCUGAUGCAGCAACGCCGCGUGCGGGAUGACGGCCUUCGGGUUGUAAACCGCUUUCGCCUGUGACGAAGCCUGAGUGACGGUAAUGGGUAAAGAAGCAACGGCUAACUACGUG
rnacentral:rRNA from 1 species